UCGUUUCUGCCACCGGGUAGAGAAUGCGAAGCAUUCGAUCGCACAUCGUUAGGUCUUUGAAGAUGUGGGGUCGGGUGCUUUUUUUGA
rnacentral:ncRNA from 1 species